UAGGCGUAUAGCUCAGUUGGUAGAGCAGCGGUCUCCAAAACCGCAGGUCGUGGGUUCGAAGCCUACUGCGCCUGAC
rnacentral:tRNA from 1 species